GCACCGAGGGUAACUAACUUAGAAAUGCAAAAUUCCAUUGUUAUAAACUUGUUCGAGGCUCCUGGUUGGCUGCUACUGUCCGCGCCAAUACAGUAGCCAAUAAAAAAUUAGGUCAACUACUACACGUGCUACUUUGGAAUGCGGUUGUAAAUAAACAAAACAAAUGUUCAUUCACCUUUCGUUAGGCGCCACUUGAAUUUUGAAAAGAGAUAACUCAGGCAUUUUUGGGUCGAUUUGAAGGCGGUUUUUACAAAAGUGUGACAAAUUUGAUAAAUACAAUUCUUGUGUACUGCUCAGUAUAAAUUAUUAAACAUUACAGCUAAUAAUACAUAAAAGAGAAAUAAAAUAUUAGUUUAAAAUAAGUAAUUGUACAUUUUAGAGAAAUUAUUGCAGACAUUGACUAAAUAUAAGUUUUAGAAUAAGGGUUUAAUAAUACUGUUCGGGUUUGGUAUAGUUUUACAUUGAGAUGAAACUUUUUUAGGUCUUAUAAGUUUACAAAUAUUCCAUUUACAUUUUCUUGAACAUAAACAACAAUUGGACUUGGCCUAUAACGACAGAGAUAUCGGACAAUUAUUCAUAGUUGGAAUAAUCUGUGCUAUUUUGGGUGGAACUGGAUUUUUAGUCCACACUUCGUAUGAAAUUGCAACGCGAAAAGGAAUAUCUCCAAUUGCAAAUAAUGAAAUAACAAGUAUAAUAUGGUCGUUUAUGGUGUUGAAAGUUAGCGUUGUUUUGGCUUUAGUCGCCAGAAGAUAUCGAAGAAAUACUUCAACAGAAUUUAUUGUGCCGCAAAAUGUGGAAGCCUCCGGUUAACGUCUCUUUUCUUGUCUUUGACUUAAAUCAACGCGUAAUUUAAUAAUUAAUUAUUUUCGUUUUUCAUGAUACUACCUAAUUACAUUUUUUUAUUGCUUAAGUACUACGUAAGUAUUAUUUUUUCUUCGUUUUGAAUGUUUGCUAGUUAUACAUUACAUACCAUAGUACAUAUAUUUGUUUUCCGAAUAAAAUAAUAUUCACAAUUA